rnacentral:rRNA from 1 species
CCUACGGGUGGCAGCAGUGAGGAAUAUUGGUCAAUGGACGAAAGUCUGAACCAGCCAAGUAGCGUGAAGGAUGACUGCCCUAUGGGUUGUAAACUUCUUUUAUAUGGGAAUAAAAUGUUCCACGUGUGGGAUUUUGUAUGUAUCCUAUGAAUAAGGAUCGGCUAACUCCGUGCCAGCAGCCGCGGUAAUACGGAGGAUCCGAGCGUUAUCCGGAUUUAUUGGGUUUAAAGGGAGCGUAGGUGGAUUGUUAAGUCAGUUGUGAAAGUUUGCGGCUCAACCGUAAAAUUGCAGUUGAAACUGGCAGUCUUGAGUACAGUAGAGGUGGGCGGAAUUCGUGGUGUAGCGGUGAAAUGCUUAGAUAUCACGAAGAACUCCGAUUGCGAAGGCAGUUCACUGGACUGCAACUGACACUGAGGCUCGAAAGUGUGGGUAUCAAACAGGAUUAGAUACCCGUGUAGUC